rnacentral:rRNA from 1 species
UGGGGAAUUUUGGACAAUGGGCGAAAGCCUGAUCCAGCAAUGCCGCGUGUGUGAAGAAGGCCUUCGGGUUGUAAAGCACUUUUGUCCGGAAAGAAAUCCUUGGCUCUAAUACAGUCGGGGGAUGACGGUACCGGAAGAAUAAGCACCGGCUAACUACGUGCCAGCAGCCGCGGUAAUACGUAGGGUGCAAGCGUUAAUCGGAAUUACUGGGCGUAAAGCGUGCGCAGGCGGUUUGCUAAGACCGAUGUGAAAUCCCCGGGCUCAACCUGGGAACUGCAUUGGUGACUGGCAGGCUAGAGUAUGGCAGAGGGGGUAGAAUUCCACGUGUAGCAGUGAAAUGCGUAGAGAUGUGGAGGAAUACCGAUGGCGAAGGCAGCCCCCUGGGCCAAUACUGACGCUCAUGCACGAAAGCGUGGGGAGCAAACAGGAUUAGAUACCCUGGUAGUCCAGCGCCCUAAACGAUGUCAACUAGUUGUUGGGGAUUCAUUCUAGUAACGUAGCUAACGCGUGAAGUUGACCGCCUGGGGAGUACGGUCGCAAGAUUAAAACUCAAAGGAAUUGACGGGGUCAUAGCUGUUUCCU